rnacentral:rRNA from 1 species
CUACGGACAAAGAGCAGCAAGUUCGCGAGGACAAGCAAAUCUCAUAAACCGUGGCUCAGUUCAGAUCGUAGGCUGCAACUCGCCUACGUGAAGGAGGAAUCGCUAGUAAUCGCAGGUCAGCAUACUGCGGUGAAUACGUUCCCGGGCCUUGUACACACCGCCCGUCACACCAUGGAAGUUGGCCACGCCCGAAGCCGUUACUCCAACCCUUGUGGAGGAGGACGUCGAAGGUGGGGCUGAUGACUGGGGUGAAGUCGUAACAAGGUAGCCGUACCGGAAGGUGCGGCUGGAUCACCUCCUAA